rnacentral:lncRNA from 1 species
AUGAGUUCUGGCUGUCUACUUUUCUGCAGAAGUAUGCGAGUAAAACUUGAACAAGUUCUGGUGCUCUGCUCAUCUGGCAGGCACCUGCAAUGCCAGUUUGGAUCUGCCCCAUCUUCUGGAAUUGCUAACAUCAUUUAUCACAACAAAUUACAGUACUGUCAAGGUCAUGAAUAUGUCUUUCAGAUUCACAAAGAAACUGAAUUAGAACAGAGAAGGAAAAGCAUAAAUAGCUGCACACUCAACAGGAGGAACACCAAAACCUGUUUAAAAAUGUGUUUUAUAUUAUUCUCUUUUUCCAAAUUACCCCAGCUUCCAGGAAUAUAAUCAACGGAAAUUGGCACAAAACUUAGAUUAACUACAAAAACAAGCUGUUAAAGAAUCAAAAACUGAAAUGGUUCCAUGAUAUUUUGAAACAAAAGAAGCUGGUUUAAAACAAGUAAAGGUUACCUCAGAGUGUUUGCAAGCCAAAUGCCAACUCUAGGAUAGGAAUACACUGUAAACAAAAGUGAAACUGACUUAUUGUUGCCCGAGCUGUGAGAAACGUGAAAAGGAAAUGAACAGAUGUGACGGGCUGGCUGGCAGUGACUUAACCCAGGGGUUUUGAAAGGGCAAAGAUGAUUGGAGGACUUGGGAUUCCCUUUCCUCACCAAUCAGGCCCCAGGGACUCACCGUCUGUGUCCCCUGAUUGGCCCCUUGGGCCACCCAGAGGGUGAUAAAAGGGGGAGCAUGGCUGACUCAAGGGAGACCAGCGAGGGACCACAAGGAAGGAGUUACAAAGAGUUGGCAAGAGCUGGGCCAGCGGGGCAGGAGCAGUUGCCCCAGAAGCACCUGAAAGAGCAGGACCUGCAGGCAGCAGUGGGACCCUCAGCAGCGCAGCGUGCGGCCAGCAGGAGAGGCUCCCCGCUGGGCUCCAGGAUCCCCUGUGAGAGGCAGUGGCCAGCAGGAGAGGCUCCCCAGCUCCAGCAAGGAUCCGAGCAGCGACCUGAGAGAUUCCCAGCCCUACUUCUAGCUCCUCCAAUGAGAGGAUAGGCAGCUCGAUGUGAGGCCGGGACUCCAGGAAGGUCAAGACCCCUAGUAACCUGGAGCAGUGGCUAUGUGGUAGAGUUUCUGCCUACCAUGUGGGAGAGCUGAGUUCAAGUCUCAGCUAGUGUCACUUGGGGUGAGUGACCUAACAGGGAGAAAUUCCUCUUGCAGCAGAAAGGAGCUGUUGAGUGUUCUCCCCCUCCAGGUACCUAGGCCCUGUAUUAUUUGACAUUUUGUGCCUUUUAUAUUUCACCAACCAGUAUUGUUUGUUCUGCUGUUUGUGUUUUGCAUUUUGGUUAAC